CAAAGCCACACUUUUGAACACUACGACCCGUCGCUGCUCAAACUCCUCCGUGACUGUGACUGAGGCGGUCAGUCGGAGGUGGUGACGCGGAUCCUGGGUCGCGCAGCGACGGCGGCCAGUUGGAGUCCGACCUCAGUCAGGAACCAGGCGGGCGCUGUACUUUUAAAUGAAAAGCAUGUCUUCUGAAGGCGUUCCACAACCACCAUGGGAAACUCCCAGCACGAGAGGGACGUGGCCCAAGAAGACUGGUGAGAACCAGAAGCACCUUGGACUGCUCCGUGUGAAGCACUCAAUCGAUCC